GACAAACGUAUACUGAAGUCGUACUCAUAUUGACGUUUAUUCAUGAAACGAAUUAACAGAGCCAAAGAUACUACUUCGAGCCAUUAGAAUGAGUAUUAUUAUAUGAAACACCGAAAAGUUUAGGUUUUCAUUAAAGUAUGUGCCAGAGGAAACACACGUGUGGACCAUAAAACACAAAAUAAGAAAUAGGCCAAAUAUAUUUAAAUUAUAUAAUCGGAAUGUGGAUCUUUGGUAUGACGUUACAAGUUUUAUUAAAAAUGCCGGAUGAAGAACAUUUUCACUCUCCUAGUUCGAGAGGUCAAACGUCAUGUCAAACAAGACCCAACUUCAUCAAGUAACCAUUCAAAAUUACCAUUUCGUCCCAGAGUUGGCUAGCUGACUGGAUAGAGAAAAGGAAUUUAAGGUUGCUUAAACUUCAAGUUCUUAUUCAGGUUUAGUCAAUUGUUUAUAUUCUCGAGUAAAGGAAGUCAAAGAUGGAGUCGUUUAUUUCCAUUAGGUGGCCGAGAAGCGGCUCUAAAUGACCUAGAAUAGAGGAUAACCUAAUUAAACUUCGCGAGACAAGUAAUUGCUGUGAUGCUUCCGUCUCUCUUCGCAAUUCUGCAAACUAUUUUUUUCUUGUGUGUGUGUGUGUGUGUGAAGUCUUGCUCACUGGAAGAAAAUUUAGAUGGAUGACCUAAAAAACUAAAUACAUGCAUACAUACCAGAAUAUGUUCUUUUAUUUUUUUGUCUGUGCUAAUGCAAGCAUAUUAAGCUAAGAAAAUACUUAAACAUUGCAUACCACAGUUUAUUACUGAUUUAGUCAACAAUUUAGAUAAAUCCACGCGUGGGCGGAAAAAAAACAGCGAACGUUUCCUUCUUCUAUUUUAUUUUUCAAAAUGUACAGAUGCAUGAACAAAGUUUAUCUUAAGUCUUUGUGACAUUUGCUUUUUAACUAUACAUUAUGUGCAUUUAUUAUUAUCUACACAUCAUUUAUGUUAGGCUAAGACAUAGUAGCAAUUUUGAAAAUUGUGUACAAUAUUAUAAAAUACUUUAACCGAAAUGUAUUUUAUUUGCGAAUGUGUGAAGGUUACACCUAUGUAUCAAUAUCAACUAAUAAGUUAAUGACAUUGAGAUUAUGAAUAAAAUAAUCAUUGGCAUUGACGAUA